rnacentral:rRNA from 1 species
AUUGAACGCUGGCGGCAGGCUUAACACAUGCAAGUCGAGCGGGGGAAGUUGCUUCGGUAACUGACCUAGCGGCGGACGGGUGAGUAAUGCUUAGGAAUCUGCCUAUUAGUGGGGGACAACAUCUCGAAAGGGAUGCUAAUACCGCAUACGUCCUACGGGAGAAAGCAGGGGAUCUUCGGACCUUGCGCUAAUAGAUGAGCCUAAGUCGGAUUAGCUAGUUGGUGGGGUAAAGGCCUACCAAGGCGACGAUCUGUAGCGGGUCUGAGAGGAUGAUCCGCCACACUGGGACUGAGACACGGCCCAG